CAGCUCUUCGGCCCCUCAGGUUGCUCCGGUGCAGGACGGAUCCGGGAGGCGCGGAGACGCGGACCCAUCUCCGGCAGAUGCCAGUACUUCGUUUCCUGGUCUCUCGCAGGUGGCUGAGAUGGCCGACCCCCCUGGCCCUUCAGGUUCUGAAUCCGCAAAUUGCAAAAGGGAAACAAAUCUUUGAAAUGAGCUAAGUUUGAUGUUGGAUACGUCGUCCGUCCCUAGGGUGCAUGAAACUGAAUAAUGGAUCACGGGACAUCAAAAACAACAUUGGACAUCAAAGUAAAUAAGACCAAAGGCCGAAACAGACAGGGUCAAGAGAUGAAAAAAGUGUCUAAAAAUCACACAAAAAAAGGGUAGCAAGAAAAUGUUAGAAGAGCAAUAUUCUACAUUUUCAGCAUAAAAAUAGUGGGAUGCUCUUCAUAAAGUUAGGAUUUAGAUCAUAUU